UGGGCUUGUGGCUCAGUGGUAGAGUGCUUGCCUAGCAUGUGUGAGGCACUGGGUCCAAUUCUCAGAACCCUAG
rnacentral:tRNA from 1 species